UGCUGAUGAUGUGAGCAUGGCCUGUCCACC
rnacentral:piRNA from 1 species